CGAAUGUGCAUGGUGCAGAACUUGGGGCAGUACAUGUUUUUACACCAAUGUGCUGUGGAUCUCCUGAACAAUAAAGGCAACAGUCGUUCACUGUGGUUUGUAAAUUAUUCUGCUUUGCAAAAAUGGACUCCCUGGAUGCAAUGGAAGGUGAUGUGGAAUUGGAGUGGGAAGAAACAACCAUGUGAUUCUCGAGCACUGAUGAAUUAGAAGGUUUCUGUGAAAUGAUUUCAGAAAAUGAACAUGGAAGCUUCUAUGAAAAAGGGCCAAAAUUCACCUAUAAAUAGACUUUUUCCUCAAAUUACCAGACUGAGCAAUUUCUUUAUCACCACUGUGUCUGAAUGAAUUACUACCAAAAUUACACUUUUGUGUUUGGA